AGUAGACCCGGUGCUGGCUGGGCCGCCGACCAGGCAGGACUGACACUGAGCAUGAGGAGGGGACUGCAGCGUUUGGGUUUGCUCACCAAGUCCAGAGCAAGGCACCAGAAAUUCUUGGCUUCCUCCAAACAGCUGCACAGAAGCCUCGGCCGCCAAACCCAUCUUGAGUUUGAUGAGUCAUCUGACGUCAGCCCUGAGCCCACAGCGUCUGGCUCCGGCUCUUUCUGGAAGAUGAGGAAGCGCCCGCCCUAAGGGCCUCUGGGCGAUUCCAGGUGAGGAAACAGGUUCAGAAAAUGAAACGAUUUGCUCAAGUGUGCUGCCACGCAUGGCUGAUUGGCACGGAGAUAUGGAACUGCAUUCUGACUCCAAAUCCAAUCUCUGUUUUCCACGAACAAUCCAGUCUAUCUUCUCGGGAUGUUUUAAAUGAAAGCCUGUCUAAAUAUUUUGAAGAUUCCUUCACACGACCUGGGUUUUAUGAGGCCUGAAAUGGAUUUUAUCUAAACUUGCACUUCCCGCAGAUGGCCACGAGAUGGCAGGGUAACCCCGACGAUGGGGGGACUGGCGCCCUUCCCUGCACCAGUAGAGGGCAGUAGUUCCCCGUUUGAAAAAAGUGAGAAAUGCAAAAAGAAAAACAAAACAAUAAAACUUCAGGGGCUACCCUGAUGGCAUGGGAUGAUGGGAGGCUUGUUUUUAUUUCGUCCUUUUUCUUUUUUAAGUUAGGCAGUGAGAGUUCAAACAAACACGUCUCCGUGUUCACUGCCGUGUUUGCUUUUGGAGGCAUGAGGUCAGGGCUUGGGCCAGCCGCCUGGUCUGCAUUAUUCAUCUGUCCAGCUCCAGCCCUGGAACAAAUGUGAAGAAAUGAAGUAGCCUCAAUGGAGGGGAAACAGUGUUGUUAUUGUUGCUGGUGACAGUUCUAUUUGCCAACAAACAGAAUAACAUACUUUGGAACCCGGAAUGGGCUUGUCAGAGGCAACUUUUGUUCCAUGUUUGGGCUGGGACGCUUCCAGAUAGAAAUCAGCCUGGCAUUUGAACUUCAGGAGGCAGGGGCAGAGCUGUGGCACAGCAGCCACUGACCUGAAAGGCCGGGCCAUCAGCUGCAGUUUUCAUCUGGGUGUUUGACUGCCAUCCACGUGUCUCCGCGCUGCCAACUGGGUUCACUGCACUGCGGGGGCCGGGGGCAGCAUGCGGUCCAGGACGAGGGACUCUCCACCAAGCAGAUAAACAGACUGUUCUGA
ensembl:lncRNA